rnacentral:misc_RNA from 1 species
UCCGGCUUAUCACCGGCAGUUUCCUCAGAGUUCUCAGCAUUACCUGUUAGCAACAGAGGAUGAGGGUUGCGCUCGUUGCGGGACUUAACCCAACAUCUCACGACACGAGCUGACGACAGCCAUGCAGCACCUGUGCUUCUUCCACCCGAGGUGAAGGACCCUUUUGGGGGUCCGUUAAAGAGCAAGUCGAGUCCUGGUAAGGUUCUUCGCGUUGCGUCGAAUUAAACCACAUGUUCCACCGCUUGUGCGGGUCCCCGUCAAUUUCUUUGAGUUUUAAUCUUGCGACCGUACUCCCCAGGCGGGAUGUUUAACGCGUUAGCUACGCCACUCAGGGGUAACCCCCGAACAGCUAACAUCCAUCGUUUACAGCGUGGACUAC